rnacentral:lncRNA from 1 species
UAACUCCUAUAACACCCACUACUUUUAUCCAUUAUCUCCAUAACUCCCACUACUCCAAUACUUAUGGUUAUAACUCCCACACCUCCAUGAUCUUCCUCCAUGAUCUCAAAAGCUUAAUGACAUAUUUAUGGAAUUCUUUUGUAUACUUCUAUGUAGUACUAUAAAUAGAGGAUGAGAAAUCAUUUUGUAAAACACUUGGAUACAUAGAAGAAAUAUAUUC